rnacentral:rRNA from 1 species
UGGGCUUGAACUGCAGUGGAUCAUCCGCCGAAAGGCGGGCUUCCUUCGGGACUGCUGUAG